rnacentral:rRNA from 1 species
GGCAACAGCUCAAAUUUGAAAUCUGGCCCCCUCGGGGCCCGAGUUGUAGUCUAGAGAAGCAUCAUCCGUGCUGGACCAUGUACAAGUCUCUUGGAACAGAGCGUCAUAGAGGGUGAGAAUCCCGUCCUUGACAUGGACUCCCAGUACUUUGUGUUGUGCUCUCAAC